UACGGAGGGUGCAAGCGUUGUUCGGAAUUACUGGGCGUAAAGCGCGCGUAGGCGGCUCUUUAAGUCUCACUGUGAAAGACCGGGGCUCAACCCCGUGCGAGCAGGGGAUACUGGAGGGCUGGAGACCGGUAGAGGCCAGCGGAAUUUCGGGUGUAGCGGUGGAAUGCGUAGAGAUCCGAAAGAACACCGGAGGCGAAGGCGGCUGGCUGGGCCGGGUCUGACGCUGAGGUGCGAAAGCGUGGGGAGCGAACAGG
rnacentral:rRNA from 1 species